UACGAAGGGGGCUAGCGUUGCUCGGAUUGACUGGGCGUAAAGGGCGCGUAGGCGGUUCGUACAGUCAGACGUGAAAUUCCUGGGCUCAACCUGGGGGCUGCGUUUGAUACGUGCGGACUUGAGUGCGGAAGAGGGUCGUGGAAUUCCCAGUGUAGAGGUGAAAUUCGUAGAUAUUGGGAAGAACACCGGUGGCGAAGGCGGCCCACUGGAUCGGUACUGACGCUGAGGUGCGAAAGCGUGGGGGAGCAAACAGG
rnacentral:rRNA from 1 species